GAUGAACGCUGGCGGCGUGCCUAAUACAUGCAAGUCGAGCGAACAGACGAGGAGCUUGCUCCUCUGACGUUAGCGGCGGACGGGUGAGUAACACGUGGAUAACCUACCUAUAAGACUGGGAUAACUUCGGGAAACCGGAGCUAAUACCGGAUAAUAUAUUGAACCGCAUGGUUCAAUAGUGAAAGACGGUUUUGCUGUUACUUAUAGAUGGAUCCGCGCCGCAUUAGCUAGUUGGUAAGGUAACGGCUUACCAAGGCAACGAUGCGUAGCCGACCUGAGAGGGUGAUCGGCCACACUGGAACUGAGACACGGUCCAGACUCCUACGGGAGGCAGCAGUAGGGAAUCUUCCGCAAUGGGCGAAAGCCUGACGGAGCAACGCCGCGUGAAUGAUGAAGGUCUUCGGAUCGUAAAACUCUGUUAUUAGGGAAGAACAAAUGUGUAAGUAACUAUGCACGUCUUGACGGUACCUAAUCAGAAAGCCACGGCUAACUACGUG
rnacentral:rRNA from 1 species